rnacentral:rRNA from 1 species
AUUGAACGCUGGCGGCAGGCCUAACACAUGCAAGUCGAACGGUAACAGGAAACAGCUUGCUGUUUCGCUGACGAGUGGCGGACGGGUGAGUAAUGUCUGGGAAACUGCCUGAUGGAGGGGGAUAACUACUGGAAACGGUAGCUAAUACCGCAUAACGUCGCAAGACCAAAGAGGGGGACCUUCGGGCCUCUUGCCAUCAGAUGUGCCCAGAUGGGAUUAGCUAGUAGGUGGGGUAGCGGCUCACCUAGGCGACGAUCCCUAGCUGGUCUGAGAGGAUGACCAGCCACACUGGAACUGAGACACGGUCCAGACUCCUACGGGAGGCAGCAGUGGGGAAUAUUGCACAAUGGGCGCAAGCCUGAUGCAGCCAUGCCGCGUGUAUGAAGAAGGCCUUCGGGUUGUAAAGUACUUUCAGCGGGGAGGAAGGGAGUAAAGUUAAUACCUUUGCUCAUUGACGUUACCCGCAGAAGAAGCACCGGCUAACUCCGUG